rnacentral:tRNA from 1 species
GGAUAGCUCAAUUGGCAGAGCACCAGACUCUUAAUCUGGAUGUUGCAGGUUCGAUUCCUGUUCCAA